AAGAGUGUACUAAUGAGACUUCUCAUUCAUUUACUUAACAAAUAUUUCCUAAGCACCGACUGCCAGGUUUAAGGUUCCAUCAGUGAACAGAUUAGAGAAGAAGCUCUGCCCUGAAGGAGCUGAUGUUCUCAUGGAGGAGAGUGAAAAUGGUUGGGGGUUUCUUUCUCGGGGUAAAAUAAAUGCAUAAAGAGAAGGAUGGUAAGGAGAUGGAGUGCUUGGGAUUUGGAGUGCCAUUUUAGAUUGAACAGAAACGUCAAGGAAGGCCUUUGGGAGGGUGUGUUUGAGCAGAGGUCAGACUGAAGCGAGGCAGCCAUGGGGAUAUCCAGCUGUGCCAGGCUUGGUCACCCCAGGGCCUUUGCACUUACUAUUCCCUCUGCCAGGGUUGUUUUCUUCUCAAGUUCCAUAUAGCUCACUCCUUCCCCUUUAGGUUUUUGCUCAGAUGUCAACUCGGGAAGUUCCUGCUGCUGGGGGUUGAAUCAGCCAUUGCAGCUGGCCUGUGCCGCAGCCACUGCAACACCAGAUCCAAGCUGCAUCCAUGAACUUCACUGCAGCUUGAGGCAACGCCAGAUCUUUAACCCACUGAACAAGGCCAGGGGGAAUCGAACCUGCAUUCUCAUGGAUACUAGUUGGGUUCCUGGCCUGCUGAGCCACAAUGGGGACUCCAAAGGCUGGUUGUCUUUAGGAUCUUAAAAAUUUUUGAAGUAUCUCAGACCUGGAAUCUGUUACUUCCCCAGUCGUUAUCCAGGGCAGGAAUUUGCCUUUUUCCACAGCUAGUGGCUGUCCAAAUUCCAUUUAAUAUUUCUUAUGGUGGGAGGUCCACUACUCUACCUACCCCUGUUACAGGGCCUAAUUUACUUCCCAGUAAGGUCCAUGAAGUCUGGCUGUAUGUUUGUUAGAACCUGUUAGGAGAAUGUGGAGGGAAGACCUUAAAUGUCAACCUUGGAAUCUUAGAGGCCUGAGGUACUGGGAAGCCAUGGAAGAAUCUAUGCUCAAGAGGAAUAUGGUCAGGUUUGUGCUUAGACCUCAUAUUAAUUAAAAAGAAAGACCUCAUUGGAGUUCCCGUCAUGGCUCAGUGGUUAACGAGUCUGACUAGGAACCAUGAGGUUGUGGGUUCGAUCCCUGGCCUCACUCAGUGAGUUAAGGAUCUGGUGUUGCUGUGAGCCGUGGUGUAGGUUGCAGAUGAGAUUUGGAUCCCUCGUUGCUGUAGCUGUGGCGUAGGCCGGCAGCUACAGCUCCGAUUCGACCCCUAGCCUGGGAAUCUCCAUACGCCACAGGUGUGGCCCUAAAAACAAAAGAAAAGAAAAAAAAA
rnacentral:lncRNA from 1 species